AUUGAACGCUGGCGGCAGGCCUAACACAUGCAAGUCGAGCGAGCGGCGGACGGGUGAGUAAUGUAUGGGGACUGCCCGAUAGAGGGGGAUAACUCCUGGAAACGGUAGCUAAUACCGCAUACUAUCGGAUAACCCAUAUGGGAUUAGCUAGUAGGUGAGGUAAUGGCUCACCUGGGCGACGAUCCCUCGCUGGUCUGAGAGGGUGAUCAGCCACGCGGGGACUGAGACACGGCCCAGAGGCCAACGGGGGCAGCAGUGGGAAAUAUUGCACAAUGGGCGAAAGCCUGAGGAGGCCGUGCCGGGGGGAUGAAGAGGGCCCUGGGGUUGUAAGGUACGUUCAGUCGGGAGGCGUUACCGACAGAAGAAGCACCGGCUAACUCCGUGCCAGCAGCCGCGGUAAUAC
rnacentral:rRNA from 1 species